AGCGAACGCUGGCGGCAGGCCUAACACAUGCAAGUCGAACGAACUCUUCGGAGUUAGUGGCGGACGGGUGAGUAACACGUGGGAACGUGCCUUUUGGUUCGGAAUAACUCAGGGAAACUUGUGCUCAUACCGAAUGUGCCCUUCGGGGGAAAGAUUUAUCGCCAUUUGAGCGGCCCGCGUCUGAUUAGCUAGUUGGUGAGGUAACGGCUCACCAAGGCGACGAUCAGUAGCUGGUCUGAGAGGAUGACCAGCUACACUGGGACUGAGACACGGCCCAGACUCCUACGGGAGGCAGCAGUGGGGAAUCUUGCGCAAUGGGCGAAAGCCUGACGCAGCCAUGCCGCGUGAAUGAUGAAGGUCUUAGGAUUGUAAAAUUCUUUCACCGGGGACGAUAAUGACGGUACCCGGAGAAGAAGCCCCGGCUAACUUCGUG
rnacentral:rRNA from 1 species